rnacentral:lncRNA from 1 species
GGGAAUUAAACCCAGAUCAAUUGUAUUGACCAAUAGCAGAAUUUAUCAAUGAUAUUGCCAUUGUUAAUUGAGACUGUAAUAAAAGGGUUACCUCCCGAAUUAUUACGGUAUGUUCGACCCCGCAUCUCCUCAGUUUCGGUUUUUAUUUUUCUUUUAGUACUAAUUUUUAUUUGGAUAUUCACAUCCGUGGCCUCCAACCACCAUCUCAAAGAUUCAAAUAACUGCUCCAUUAAAAAUAACUUAACUUUAUUAAUUUCACAAACUUCCAAAAUAAUGUUACACAAAAAAAACUUACAAAACUUAAUCCUGGCAAAUCUCACCCAGCCGUAACUAUUUCUUCCUUCAAACAGUCAGUCGAGUAACACAUAAAUUAAAAGUAACAAUAUCCACACAUCCAGCACUUAAACAAGUAGCAAACACUCCUCCACUGACAAUACGGCAUAAUACUUCCAGAAAAUCCAGGCGAGACUGAAGCGCCUUCUCUCAAUUGUCUUUUUUAAGUAAUAC